ACAGCAUGUUUUUUAGAAGUGAAAUCAGGUUACGAAGAGCACUAAGGCAGCUUUGAAGGGGAAGUCCUGAGAGAACAGGCUGCAGCUUCGGGGUAUAACAUCACUAUUGUAAAACCUCAGAUUGGUGCUCAAGAUAGUUUUCAGACCCUGCACUUGAUGGAUCAGCUGGCACUACUCAGAUCAACACACUGGCUCACCUGGUCUUGUGGCCCCCACCCAGGAAAUGACUCAGCACAAGAGGACAGCUUUGACUCCCUGUGAUUUCAUCUCAGACCCAACCAGUCAGCUCUCCCUACUACUUGGCCCCCUACCCACCAAAUUAUCCUUAAAAAACCCCAGCCUCUAAAUUUUGGGGGUGACUGUUUUGAGUAAUAAUAAAACUCUGGUAUCCC
rnacentral:lncRNA from 1 species